rnacentral:rRNA from 1 species
AUGCAUAGAGAUGAACGAUUUAGAAAGGUGACAAAUAUUUCCCAACUUUCAGCCAAGCUUGUUGAGACAAAGAACAUAUCACAUGCCAUUGUUUACAAGAUUCUCAAGUUGGUGUUAAUUCUCCCGGUGGCGACUGCUAGUAUUGAGAGGGUCUUCUCUUCGAUGAAUUAA